UCUCUGAUGUUCUGGUGUGAUGACUCUGCACUUCCAAUGCAGAGGGCAUGGGUUCCAUCCCCAGUCAGGGAA
rnacentral:tRNA from 1 species